rnacentral:lncRNA from 1 species
AAUAUUCUACAUAGACUUCUGCUUUUUGGGCUUUACUAAUGUCUGAUAUCUUGCACAAGUUUUUCACCACAAACAUCAGCAUUUCCUUCUGUUAAGUCCCUGGAAAGUGCACCAGAUCAUUAUCAAGUAAUACAAAACGGUUAAGUCCGAGUAUUGUUUCCCAAAGGACUCUUAGGCCUUAACUUUCAUGUUAACUAAUCGCAUCAGACUUGAAAAGAAAUUAAUUUUAGGUUUUGGAUGCAGAACGAAAAUAAACAUGCAAAAUGUAGUGAAUCAAUUGGCUUGAAAAGACUAUGGAUGAAUGGAGUUGUUGGGGUUUACAAUUUCAUCUUAUCCACCCUCUUAUAUCUACUCUUCUUAUUUAAUUCACUUAUUUAUCAUAUGUUCAUGCAAACAUUCUUAGUCUACCCUAAACGCAAUCUCUUAGCGAAAAGAGCCUAUUACUAAUUACUGGCUUGCUAUCUCUAGCCUCCCCUAGUAACUAGCAAUGCAUGAUAAACGGAAGCAAAAUACAAUUGAUCGUCCUACCCCUAUCUCUAAGCUAUAUUAGCAUAAUCAAGGAAUUCCCC